rnacentral:tRNA from 1 species
CUUUGUAGGCAAAAGCAUGUUAGUCUUGUAAACUAAAAACAAAAGGUUAAAACCCUUUACAAAGC